CCUACGGGUGGCAGCAGUGAGGAAUAUUGGUCAAUGGGCGCGAGUCUGAACCAGCCAUGUCGCGUGAAGGAUGACUGCCCUAUGGGUUGUAAACUUCUUUUGUACAGGAAUAAAGUGCGGCACGUGUGCCUUUUUGUAUGUACUUUAUGAAUAAGGAUCGGCUAACUCCGUGCCAGCAGCCGCGGUAAUACGGAGGAUCCGAGCGUUAUCCGGAUUUAUUGGGUUUAAAGGGAGCGUAGAUGGGUGGUUAAGUCAGUUGUGAAAGUUUGCGGCUCAACCGUGAAAUUGCAAUUGAUACUGGCAGUCUAGAGUACAGUUGAGGUAGGCGGAAUGCGUGGUGUAGCGGUGAAAUGCUUAGAUAUCACGAAGAACUCCGAUUGCGAAGGCAGCUUACUAAACUGCCACUGACAUUGAGGCUCGAAAGUGUGGGGAGCAAACAGGAUUAGAUACCCGGGUAGUC
rnacentral:rRNA from 1 species